rnacentral:rRNA from 1 species
UUCCGUAGGUGAACCUGCGGAAGGGAUCAUUAUAGUAUUCUAUUGCCAGCGCUUAAUUGCGCGGCGAUAAACCUUACACACAUUGUUUAUUUCUUUUGAACUUUGCUUUGGGUGGAGCUUGUCUCUGCCCAGAGGUUAACUAAACACAAGAUUUUAUAUCUUUUAUUUUAAAACUAGUCAAGAAGUAAUUAUAACUAAAUCUUCAAAACUUUCAACAACGGAUCUCUUGGUUCUCGCAACGAUGAAGAACGCAGCGAAAUGCGAUACGUAAUGUGAAUUGCAGGUUUUCGUGAAUCAUCGAAUCUUUGAACGCACAUUGCGCCCUCUGGUAUUCCAGAGGGCAUGCCUGUUUGAGCGUCAUUUCUCUCUUCAAACCUUUGGGUUUGGUAUUGAGUGAUACUCUUUCUUUGGGUUAACUUGAAAUAUAGUUUUGGCAAGAGUGUGUCUACGUGGACUCUUGAUUGACAUAAUGUAUUAGGUUCUACCAACUCGUUAUAUCGGUCUUGAAUAAACUUGACAGUCUAGCUCGGCCUAACAACUUUCACAAAGUUUGACCUCAAAU